rnacentral:rRNA from 1 species
UACGGAGGGUGCAAGCGUUAUCCGGAUUUACUGGGUUUAGAGGGUGUGUAGGCGGACUUUUAAGUCAGGGGUGAAAUCCCGAGGCUCAACCUCGGAACUGCCUUUGAUACUAUUGGUCUUGAAUGUUGUUGAGGUGGGCGGAACGGGUCAUGUAGCGGUGAAAUGCAUAGAUAUGACCCGGAACACCGAUUGCGAAGGCAGCCCGCUAAGCAACUAUUGACGCUGAGGCACGAAAGCGUGGGGAUCAAACAGG